GAGACACGUAUCCAACCUGCCGUCUACUCUUGGACAGCCUUCUGAAAGGAAGAUUAAUACAAGAUGGCAUCAUGAGUCCGCAUGUUCACAUGAUUAAAGGUAUUCCGGUAGACGAUGGGGAUGCGUUCCAUUAGAUAGUAGGCGGGGUAACGGCCCACCUAGUCUUCGAUGGAUAGGGGUUCUGAGAGGAAGGUCCCCCACAUUGGAACUGAGACACGGUCCAA
rnacentral:rRNA from 1 species